GCGGGCACUCAGUCCACAUGGAGGGGGCCGGCACUCCGCCCACAUGGAGGGGGCGGGUACUCAUGCUGCGUUCGAGUAUUCUCUGCGAACCGACUCGGAUCUCGGAUCUGACGCCACGCCCGUCCACAUCGAGGGGGCGGCCACUCAGUUCACAUUGAGGACUGGUCAAACAGCAUUUCUGAUCCCGUUUCUGACCUGAAAUUAGCUGAAAUGUACCUGAAAUUACCUGAAAUUAGAGUGUGCCCGCCCGAGCGAGUGAUGCCUAAAACAUGCAAAGACACGUCAGUGUAAUUGUGGAUGGCGAGAGCCCUGAAAUACAGCUGGACAGCAGCGGUCUACAUCACUGCCCCUUCUGCAGAUACAAAGGGUAAAAAUGUGAUAUCGACCAUCACAUUAAAUGGCAUGCCUCGGUUAAAUACAGAGGUCUGCAGAGGAGCUUUCAGGAAGCAGGAAGAGAAGACGGGAGGAAAAAAAGCUACAGGCACGUGUCAUAUACUGUAAUGUGUGAUGUUGUCUUAGAGCAAUUGUGAAAGACUAUAGUCCCACCACUAAUACAUUUCAGGAUAAAGAUCUCUGCACAAAAAGGGCUAGAGUUGCUCCAACAGCAUCCAGCUCUGAAGGAUCAGGUCAUGUAUAGACUGUUAAUCAAGGUGAAUCCAUGUAGGCCUACACAUAUUCAGAGUAUUUGUGAGAUAUGAUUGAUUCUAUUAGGCUUCUACUUCCAAAUUAAGUUGUACACAUAUCUCCAUCAAUAUACAAGUUAUAGCCUACUCCAUGGCUGAUCUAUUGCAUACUAGGGCCUACUUUUAUUAUUCCAUUGUAUUGGCCUACUCAACAUUACAGACAACAAUCUGUUUUAUUUCCAGACAAAACUAAAGACCAGGAACUGAAACCUGGGAACCUGGAAGAUUAUGUUGUCCUGAAGGACACAAUUCAGGCAGCAGCAUGGUGCCAUUUACAGUCCUUCAAGGACAGCGUUUCUCUCCCAGAGGUCAUUGGGAUGGAAGGUUGGGAGCAUGGCAGCAUCAACACAGCGCAAAUCCCAUGACGGCGGGGAUGAGGAAGAAACGUGGAAACCAUUCCAAUUCUCGUUCAGAUUACAUACUGACUAUGAACUGUUCGGUGUGGAGAUGUUGGACAGGAGAAACCUGAAGGUGUUUGCCUCUUUUGAGUCAAACACCUCUCCCCCUCCCCGUGACGCCUGCGCCACACGACUCCAAUGUAGUCUGAUGAUGCAGCAUAAUGGCGGCGCUUGGCAGCUAUGGCGGCGGUGACGGCGAUGUCGGGCGACAGAGCGUGAAGCAAGAGUGGCGUCCACCUCACUGAGGAAGGCGUCAGUGUGUUCCCCCCCCUCCCCCCCCCCCGUUGAGGGCUUUG